GGGGCUGACCUGGCUUCGACGAGGGUUCGGAGUUGGAACAGUGCACGCCGAGCACCAGUUCGCUCGUAAAUCCACUGGAAACAAAGUAACUGCGAACGA
rnacentral:tmRNA from 1 species